UACGUAGGGUGCAAGCGUUGUCCGGAAUUAUUGGGCGUAAAGAGCUCGUAGGCGGUUUGUCGCGUCUGCUGUGAAAACCUAAGGCUCAACCUUGGGCUUGCAGUGGGUACGGGCAGACUAGAGUGCGGUAGGGGUGACUGGAAUUCCUGGUGUAGCGGUGGAAUGCGCAGAUAUCAGGAGGAACACCGGUGGCGAAGGCGGUUCUCUGG
rnacentral:rRNA from 1 species